CCAUCGAAAUAUUGGCAAGUUCUACAUCGACGUAAUUUACAUUAAUUUACAUAAUGUAGAAAACUUCGGACCUAAAUUACGUGGUAAAUUACUGUAGAAAUCCACGUAAAUUACCUGGAGUAAAUUACGUACCCAACCCUGGGACUCUACUUUAUGUGCAAUUCGUAAAACAGGUUACCGAGGCCGUUACGGACCACGUGUGUUUACUAUAUUUCGAAAGCUGGCUACUCAAAGAAAUUCAAUAUUUAAAGUCAAUGGGACUUUCGACGAAGGCGAGCUAUCUUCAAACGUGCAAUGACGGUACGUCAUUGAGCAGCGCGUGAACAUUUCCGAUCUCAGAGCGCGUGAGAGCACUCGAGAUGGAAGAAUGGCCCGCAGACAACAUCAGCUCGAGUUAUUAGAAGCGGCGGAGGGUGUAUUAUAUGGUCUUGGAAUAGACGACUCCAUGUUAAGUUAAAAAAAAUUAUCUUAUAUGAUCCAGUUCAGAGAUAUAGUGGUCACCGCAAAACGUCUUUUUUGAGAGGAGCUCCCGGAGAUCAGCUGUAGCUCCUAACCAAUUUUUGAAAAAUAUAAAGUGUCAUGACAAUGCUGUAUUGCUUAAGUGGAAAAUCUCUUGAUAUUUUAUAUGUCAAUUUUCAUCGUUGAAUUGAUCAUUUUAAAAUAAAUUCACCAUCAG